ACUGAGAACAAAUGGGAUAUUUUUUCCAUGAUGAGGGAAAAAACCCCAACCCUGAGAGAGAUUCAGUGAGGAUAGCGGGAGACGGAAAAGUUAGACCUCAGAGCACUUCUCUGCCAGCUCUUCUAUUCUUUUUUCAAGUCCCUUGUGGGCAAGGAUGUGGUCGUGGAACUAAAGAAUGACCUGAGAGUCUUGCCCUGUCGCCCAGGCUGGA
rnacentral:ncRNA from 2 species